rnacentral:rRNA from 1 species
GUGAACCAGUACCGUGAGGGAAAGGCGAAAAGAACCCCGGCGAGGGGAGUGAAAAAGAACCUGAAACCGUGUACGUACAAGCAGUGGGAGCACAGGUUUACCUGUGUGACUGCGUACCUUUUGUAUAAUGGGUCAGCGACUUAUAUUCUGUAGCAAGGUUAACCGAAUAGGGGAGCCGGAGGGAAACCGAGUCUUAAUUGGGCGUUAAGUUGCAGGGUAUAGACCCGAAACCCGGUGAUCUAGCCAUGGGCAGGUUGAAGGUUGGGUAACACUAACUGGAGGACCGAACC